AUACUCGCAGGUCAGUGAUUAGAGCAUCCGACUGGUGUACGGAAGGUCAUGGGUUCAAAACCCGUCGGGGAGU